rnacentral:lncRNA from 1 species
ACGAGGGGCUGCAAGAGCCCCUCACCCUGAGCUGGGAGCCAUCUUCCCAGCCCACCAUCCCCAUCAUGGGCAUCGUUGCUGGCCUGGCUGUCCUGGUUGUCCUAGCUGUCCUUGGAGCUGUGGUCACCGCUAUGAUGUGUAGGAGGAAGAGCUCAGGGCAUUUUCUUCCCACAGGUGGAAAAGGAGGGAGCUGCUCUCAGGCUGCGUGCAGCAACAGUGCCCAGGGCUCUGAUGAGUCUCUCAUCACUUGUAAAGCCUGAGACAGCUGCCUGUGUGGGACUGAGAUGCAGGAUUUCUUCACACCUCUCCUUUGUGACUUCAAGAGCCUCUGGCAUCUCUUUCUGCAAAGGCACCUGAAUGUGUCUGCGUUCCUGUUAGCAUAAUGUGAGGAGGUGGAGAGACAGCCCACCCCCGUGUCCACCGUGACCCCUGUCCCCACACUGACCUGUGUUCCCUCCCCGAUCAUCUUUCCUGUUCCAGAGAGGUGGGGCUGGAUGUCUCCAUCUCUGUCUCAAAUUCAUGGUGCACUGAGCUGCAACUUCUUACUUCCCUAAUGAAGUUAAGAACCUGAAUAUAAAUUUGUGUUCUCAAAUAUUUGCUAUGAAGCGUUGAUGGAUUAAUUAAAUAAGUCAAUUCCUAGAAGUUGAGAGAGCAAAUAAAGACCUGAGAACCUUC